GACGAACCGUGCGAACGUUGUUCGGAAUCACGGGGCUUAAAGGGCGCGUAGGCGGUCAAUCCAGUCGGGGGUGAAAUCUUGCAGCUUAACUGUAAAAGUGCCUUCGAUACUGAUUGACUCGAGGGAGGUAGGGGCAGGUGGAACUUCCAGUGGAGCGGUGAAAUGUGUUGAUAUUGGAAGGAACGCCGGUGGCGAAAGCGACCUGCUGGAUCUCUUCUGACGCUGAGGCGCGAAAGCUAGGGGAGCAAACGGG
rnacentral:rRNA from 1 species